rnacentral:lncRNA from 1 species
CCAAGCUCCCGGCAGGCUGCGCGGCGCUCCUGGCGUGCACCUUGGCGUGCGGAGCUGGCACCUUGGCGCCGUGGGCGGCGGCGGGGACAGCUGUAGAGUGUGAAGUUCCUUGUCUGCUGGCAGCCAGAGGCGACGAGUCUGGAUGUCAUGGAAGUCAUCUUUGGGUCACAGUGCGGGGAUGGAGCCCAGCCUGGUAUCCGAGACGGGACUUAGAAGGCUAUAAAGGCCUGAGUCUGUCCGCCCUGAAAGUAGCUGGAGAAGAGACGAAUCAGGGCCGGGUAGAGCUCUGCUUUCCUCACUGGGCCCUGGGGAGCCCUUACUCAGAAGAGCUGCUCUCAGAGUUUGAUGGGAGCAGUCAACACUGUGAGGGAAACGGAAGGAUGCCAAUUCUGCGCUUCUCAGUAACUACAAGGUGUUUCAGUUACUAACUGAUCUGAAAGAACAGCGUAAAGAAAGUGGAAAGAGGCCGGGCGCGGUGGGCUCAAGACUGUUUAAUCCCGAACCUCAUUGGGAAGGCGAGACGGCGGAUCACGAGG